CCUACGGGCGGCUGCAGUAGGGAAUCUUCCGCAAUGGGCGAAAGCCUGACGGAGCAACGCCGCGUGAGUGAUGAAGGUCUUCGGAUCGUAAAACUCUGUUAUUAGGGAAGAACAUAUGUGUAAGUAACUGUGCACAUCUUGACGGUACCUAAUCAGAAAGCCACGGCUAACUACGUGCCAGCAGCCGCGGUAAUACGUAGGUGGCAAGCGUUAUCCGGAAUUAUUGGGCGUAAAGCGCGCGUAGGCGGUUUUUUAAGUCUGAUGUGAAAGCCCACGGCUCAACCGUGGAGGGUCAUUGGAAACUGGAAAACUUGAGUGCAGAAGAGGAAAGUGGAAUUCCAUGUGUAGCGGUGAAAUGCGCAGAGAUAUGGAGGAACACCAGUGGCGAAGGCGACUUUCUGGUCUGUAACUGACGCUGAUGUGCGAAAGUGUGGGGAUCAAACAGGAUUAGAUACCCUGGUAGUC
rnacentral:rRNA from 1 species